rnacentral:rRNA from 1 species
CGAACGCUGGCGGCGUGCCUAACACAUGCAAGUCGAACGAGAACGCGGGCUUCGGCCCGUUAGUAGAGUGGCAUACGGGUGAGUAACACGUGGGCAAUCUGCCCGAAGGUGGGGGAUAACUCUCGGAAACGGGGGCUAAUACCGCAUGAUAUCUCGAGGACUCCGGUCCUUGCGAUCAAAGCUAGCCUCUUCUUGAAAGCUAGCGCCAUCGGAGGAGCUCGCGGCCCAUUAGUUUGUUGGUGAGGUAACGGCUCACCAAGACUACGAUGGGUAGCCGGCCUGAGAGGGCGAUCGGCCACACUGGAACUGAGACACGGUCCAGACUCCUACGGGAGGCAGCAGUGAGGAAUAUUGCGCAAUGGGGGAAACCCUGACGCAGCGACGCCGCGUGGAGGACGAAGGCCUUCGGGUCGUAAACUCCUGUCAAGAGGGACGAAUGUCAUGGGGAUGAAUAAGCCUCAUGUUUGACGGUACCUCUGGAGGAAGCCCCGGCUAACUCC